GAGAUUAUGGUGAAAAGGCAAACACGUCAGGUUGUGGUCCUGAUAAGUACCGGUUCGAGUCCGGUUAAUCUCC
rnacentral:tRNA from 1 species